rnacentral:rRNA from 1 species
GUAAAGGCCUACCAAGGCACACGAUCUGUAGCGGGUCUGAGAGGAUGAUCCGCCACACUGGGACUGAGACACGGCCCAGACUCCUACGGGAGGCAGCAGUGGGGAAUAUUGGACAAUGGGGCAAGCCUGAUCCAGCCAUGCCGCGCGUGUGAAGAAGGCCUUUUGGUUGUAAAGACUGCUUUAACAGCGAGGAGGAGGCUACUUGGAUUAAUACUCUAGGAUAGUGGACGUUACUCGCAGAAUAAGCACCGGCUAACUCUGUGCCAGCAGCCGCGGUUACAGAGGACGG